AGCAACAUGAUGAGGACAUUUUAAUCUGAAUAUGAUGUAGAAUAUUAGUCUCAUAUAAGGUCUUCAAAGUUCUCUGAUUGCU